rnacentral:tRNA from 1 species
GACCUCAUAGCUCAGUUGACUAGAGAGCUGGCUGUUCGUAAACCUUGUCCUUAAUAGCAUGGGUUCGAAUCCCACUGAGGCCA